rnacentral:rRNA from 1 species
CUGCGUACCUUUUGUAUAAUGGGUCAGCGACUUAUAUUCUGUAGCAAGGUUAACCGAAUAGGGGAGCCGGAGGGAAACCGAGUCUUAACCGGGCGUUAAGUUGCAGGGUAUAGACCCGAAACCCGGUGAUCUAGCCAUGGGCAGGUUGAAGGUUGGGUAACACUAACUGGAGGACCGAACCGACUAAUGUUGAAAAAUUAGCGGAUGACCUGUGGCUGGGGGUGAAAGGCCAAUCAAACCGGGAGAUAGCUGGUUCUCCCCGAAAGCUAUUUAGGUAGCGCCUCGUGAACUCAUCUCCGGGGGUAGAGCACUGUUUCGGCUAGGGGGCCAUCCCGGCUUACCAACCCGAUGCAAACUGCGAAUACCGGAGAAUGUUAUCACGGGAGACACACGGCGGGUGCUAACGUCCGUCGUGAAGAGGGAAACAACCCAGACCGCCAGCUAAGGUCCCAAAGUCAUGGUUAAGUGGGAAACGAUGUGGGAAGGCCCAGACAGCCAGGAUGUUGGCUUAGAAGCAGCCAUCAUUUAAAGAAAGCGUAAUAGCUCACUGGUCGAGUCGGCCUGCGCGGAAGAUGUAACGGGGCUAAACCAUGCACCGAAGCUGCGGCAGCGACACUCAGGUGUUGUUGGGUAGGGGAGCGUUCUGUAAGCCUGCGAAGGUGGCCUGUGAGGGUUGCUGGAGGUAUCAGAAGUGCGAAUGCUGACAUAAGUAACGAUAAAGCGGGUGAAAAGCCCGCUCGCCGGAAGACCAAGGGUUCCUGUCCAACGUUAAUCGGGGCAGGGUGAGUCGACCCCUAAGGCGAGGCCGAAAGGCGUAGUCGAUGGGAAACGGGUUAAUAUUCCCGUACUUGGUGUUACUGCGAAGGGGGGACGGAGAAGGCUAUGUUGGCCGGGCGACGGUU